rnacentral:rRNA from 1 species
UACGUAGGGGGCUAGCGUUGUCCGGAAUCAUUGGGCGUAAAGCGCGUGUAGGCGGUUCGGUAAGUCCGCUGUGAAAGUCGGGGGCUCAACCCUCGGAUGCCGGUGGAUACUGUCGGACUAGAGUGCGGAAGAGGCGAGUGGAAUUCUCGGUGUAGCAGUGAAAUGCGUAGAUAUCGGGAGGAACACCAGUAGCGAAGGCGGCUCGCUGGGCCACACCUGACGCUGAGACGCGAAAGCUAGGGGAGCGAACAGG